GAAAACUAGGACUGUAGGGAUCAAUAACGUGUUUUCAGGAAGUGUCAACAGGAACACGUAACCCGUUAGACAUACCUGUCAAUAUAAAAGGUCAGAUAUUUAUAAAAUUCAUCUUUGAAGCACAUUAAAUAUAAGCUUUUAAAGUCUAACUAUCAUACCUUACCCAGUUGGAUUGUCAUAUGAUAAAACAUAAAAUAUUAAUACGAGCUUUAAGAGAUCAAUUAUAAACUUAACAAUAACAGGAGAGAAAAAAGGGUAAAAAUAAAAAUAUUAUUUUUUGCCAUACUAGAAUAUUUCCAACACACUACUCUUUUAAUGACAAAUUAAAGGAAGAGAGAGGCUACACUUUAUUCUUCGAAAGCCAGACCUUACUAUGGUUUUCACAUCUUCAUAAUUUGGACUCAUCUUGUAUUAUGUUGCUUUUAUAUAAUGAGUGUUGAUGUUGCUUUUUUUUAAGUAUUAUAUUGUUUACUUAAUAGAUAUACAAUGCAAUAUACAUGGAUUCAUGUUGACUUAAUUUCACUCCUUCCUUGCGCAUUUUCUGUACCUGGGACUUGUUUAUUACUUUCUUAUUACAGUACCUAUGGAAUAAAUUUAUAAAAGAUGAUGAAAUUUGCACAAUGUACGAAAUUGGGAUUGUCAAACAUUGUUGAAUAUAUAAAUCUGACUCCUUGAAACAUUAGAAGAGUAAAAGAAAAAUAUAAUUAUACAAGGUGAUGUAGAAUAUAAUUUUCUUUCAAAUUAAACCAACAAUGUCAAAGUGCUUGGAUAUUGGAAUAUCUAAAGCAGUAUAUUAUAUUUAAGUAUUAUGAUUGGAAAAUAUAUGUUCGUCAGAUACUACACAGAUUAAUUUUUUCUCUCAGCAAAAUACAUAUAUAUUAUAGAAUUGAAAGUAAAUUAGGUUUACCUGCACCGUGAGUCCAAGCAUGUGCCUGAGCCAAAGUUCAUUGUCCUCGAGAGAAAAAGCAGUAAUGGUGUCAGGNCCACCCAAGUGCAGCAGCAGAAAGGGUGUCCAGAACGCUCGCAAGUAGUCAUCGAUGGUGGAAACUGCCGUGUCUUUAUCACCAUAUUUGUUGGAGAUGAGGCCAACACAGAAAUCCGCUGUGACAUCUGCCACAAGGUACGUGAACCAAAGCACUGAAACCAACAAUGUAUUUCUCGACCGUUUUCUGAAAGGAGCUAUGAAUAUCAGAACUAUUUGCAUGGUCAGACUCAAAAGGACAACACCCUGAAUGUUCCAUUUGCCCCAAAUGUUCCUGGCAAAGUUUGGGAUAGGAUUUACCAUUUCCCUUUACCUUCUUUCUUCUUCUCUCUCCGACCACAUCUCUUUCUUUUCCUAUCGUCUUUCAUCGUUUUAAAUAGAACAGCAUGCAUGCAUGGAUAACAUGCCUUUUUUUUUUCUUCCCUUAAUAAUUAAGAAAUUCAAAUGAAAAAGAAAAAGUAUAUAUAUUGUUGUUAAUUAACGUAUUUAACACCGUAGAACGACAUGCAAACGUUCUUCACGCUGUAGCACUUGUUAUUCUUAAAGAACGAUUCAUCAGAGGUAGAAAAAAGAGCUAUAGUUUCUCUUUAAUUUGCUUUUGCUGACAGAUUAUUCUUUGCACCUUUUCUCUUUUGUUACAGUUCAGGUUUGGAGUGGUUGUGAUGUAGAUCUUCAUCAUCGAUAAGGAAACAAAAGAUGAAGGUUUCAGCUCUUGUCAUAUACUCUUCCUUUUCAUUCUCUAUCUUUACGUAGUUGGCGUAUGAAAAAACUACAUGUGCUGUUCUCUGCUUUGUUUCUUUUGCUUUAGUCUGUAUAGUCUUUUUGUUGGGGAAAAUGCUUCUCUUUUGCUUUGGCUGGAGACAAGUUACAUAUCCUGAAAGAGAAAGCACAAUAGAGGAACAUAACUUUGCGUCUCAAUUAGAAACCAUGUUAUCUUUCAUCACACGCCCUUCAAUUACAUUUAUUUUUAUUUUCGGAAACUGUAAUUGUUUGCUAUGAAAUGGAACAUUAGCUAUCAUAUGAUCUUGUGAAUUAUAGUAAAUUUCGACAAAAUUUUAAUUUUUUAUAUAAAGCUAUCAAGUGCAAAAUCGC
rnacentral:lncRNA from 1 species